GACGAACGCUGGCGGCGUGCUUAACACAUGCAAGUCGAACGGUGAAGCGCCUUCCUUUUUGGUGGGUGUGGAUGAGUGGCGAACGGGUGAGUAACACGUGAGUAACCUGCCCCCUUCUUCUGGAUAACCUCAUGAAAGUGUGGCUAAUACGGGAUAUUCUGGGUCUGUCGCAUGAUGGGUCUGGGAAAGAUAUUGUUUCGGUGGGGGAUGGGCUCGCGGCUUAUCAGCUUGUUGGGGGGGUGAUGGCCUACCAAGGCGGUGACGGGUAGCCGGCCUGAGAGGGUGGACGGUCACACUGGGACUGAGACACGGCCCAGACUCCUACGGGAGGCAGCAGUGGGGAAUAUUGCACAAUGGGCGCAAGCCUGAUGCAGCGACGCCGCGUGAGGGAUGGAGGCCUUCGGGUUGUGAACCUCUUUCGCCAGUGAAGCAGGCCUGCCUCGUUUGUGGGUGGGUUGACGGUAGCUGGAUAAGAAGCGCCGGCUAACUACGUG
rnacentral:rRNA from 1 species